rnacentral:rRNA from 1 species
GUAGGGUGCAAGCGUUAAUCGGAAUUACUGGGCGUAAAGCGUGCGCAGGCGGUUGUGCAAGACAGAUGUGAAAUCCCCGGGCUUAACCUGGGAACUGCAUUUGUGACUGCACGGCUGGAGUACGGUAGAGGGAGAUGGAAUUCCGCGUGUAGCAGUGAAAUGCGUAGAUAUGCGGAGGAACACCGAUGGCGAAGGCAAUCUCCUGGACCUGUACUGACGCUCAUGCACGAAAGCGUGGGGAGCAAACAGGAUUAGAUACCCUGGUAGUCCACGCCCUAAACGAUGUCAACUGGUUGUUGGACGGCUUGCUGUUCAGUAACGAAGCUAACGCGUGAAGUUGACCGCCUGGGGAGUACGGCCGCAAGGUUGAA